rnacentral:rRNA from 1 species
GCUUGUCUCAAAGAUUAAGCCAUGCAUGUCUAAGUAUAAACAAAUUUGUACUGUGAAACUGCGAAUGGCUCAUUAAAUCAGUUAAAGUUUAUUUGAUAGUACCUUACUACUUGGAUAACCGUAGUAAUUCUAGAGCUAAUACAUGCGAAAAGACCCGACUUUUUGGAAGGGUUGUAUUUAUUAGAUACAAAACCAAUGCGGAGCAACCGGUCCUUUGGUGAUUCAUGAUAACUUUGCGAAUCGCAUAGCUUUAAUGCUGGCGAUGGGUCAUUCAAAUUUCUGCCCUAUCAACUUUCGACGGUAGGAUAGAGGCCUACUGUGGUGAUAACGGGUAACGAAGAAUAAGGGUUCGAUUUCGGAGAGGGAGCCUGAGAAACGGCUACCACAUCCAAGGAAGGCAGCAGG